GGCGAAAGGGUGCGGAAUAGAUAGGUAACGUACUUUGGGCUUUGGAAUAGCGUUCCGAAAGGAACGGUAAUACCAGAUAACAUCAGCGAUUGUAAGGUUGCUGAUCAAAGAUUUAUCGGCCUGAAAGCGGCCUAUCUCCUAUCAGCUAGUUGGUGAGGUAACGGCCCACCAAGGCGACGACGGGUAGCGGGACUGAGAGGUUGACCCGCCACAUCGGGACUGAGACACUGCCCGGACCUCCACGGAGGGCUGCAGUAACGAAUAUUGGGCAAUGGGCGAAAGCCUGACCCAGCGAUGCCGCGUAUAGGAUGAAGUUCUUCGGAAUGUAAACUAUUGUCAGGGGCUAGAAAGCCGUAAGGUUGAUCAGCCCCGGAGGAAGUCACGACUAACUUCGUGCCAGCAGUCGCGGUAAUACGAAGGUGACAAGCGUUAUUCGAAGUCACUGGGCUUAAAGGGUGCGCAGGCGGAAACAUAAGUGUCUUGUGAAAACCCCCGGCUUAACCGGGGAAUUGCUCGGCAUACUGUGUUUCUUGAGGCAAGCAGGGGUGUGUGGAACUCUU
rnacentral:rRNA from 1 species